GGGUGGACCGAGGGGAUCGCGGCGGGUCAUGCGCCCGUCGAGGAAAGUCCGCACUCCAAAGGGCGGCGAUGCCGGCUAACGGCCGGGCAGGGCAACCUGACGGCAAGUGCAACAGAGAGCAGAUUGCGUCGCUAGGCGCGAGGGUGAAAGGGUGCGGUAAGAGCGCACCGGCAGCGGCAGUAAUGUCGCUGGCCAGGCAAACCCCAUCGGGAGCAAGGUGAAACAGGCGCAGUGGAGCGGCCCGUUCCGUAGAAAGCGCCGGGUACACCGCUAGAGGUCGGCGGCGACGCCGAUCCCAGAUAGAUGAUCCCCCUAUGACAGAAUGCGGCUUAUGCGGUCGACCCGGCG
rnacentral:RNase_P_RNA from 1 species